rnacentral:tRNA from 1 species
AAUUAAUGAGCUUGUAAAAUUAAGCAUUUGUUUUGAAAACUUAAGAAAGAAUAAAAAUUCUAUUAAUUU